rnacentral:rRNA from 1 species
AGCGAACGCUGGCGGCAGGCCUAACACAUGCAAGUCGAACGAACCUUUCGGGGUUAGUGGCGGACGGGUGAGUAACACGUGGGAACGUGCCUUUAGGUUCGGAAUAACUCAGGGAAACUUGUGCUAAUACCGAAUGUGCCCUUCGGGGGAAAGAUUAAUCGCCUUUAGAGCGGCCCGCGUCUGAUUAGCUAGUUGGUUGAGGUAAUGGCUCACCAAGGCGACGAUCAGUAGCUGGUCUGAGAGGAUGAUCAGCCACAUUGGGACUGAGACACGGCCCAAACUCCGACGGGAGGCAGCAGUGGGGAAUCUAGCGCAAUGGGCGAAAGCCUGACGAAGCCAUGCCGGGUGAAUGAUGAAGGUCUUAGGAUUGUAAAAUUCUUUCACCGGGGACGAUAAUGACGGUACCCGGAGAAGAAGCCCCGGCUAACUUCGUG